rnacentral:rRNA from 1 species
CCUACGGGUGGCAGCAGUGGGGGAUAUUGCACAAUGGGGGGAACCCUGAUGCAGCGACGCCGCGUGGGUGAAGGAGCGUUUCGGCGCGUAAAGCCCUAUCGGCCGGGAAGAAGAUGACGGUACCUGACCAAGAAGCCCCGGCUACCUACGUGCCAGCAGCCGCGGUAAUACGUAGGGGGCACGCGUUAUCCGGAUUUACUGGGGGUAAAGGGGGCGCAGACGGCAGUGACAGCCAGGAGUGAAAGCCCGGGGCCCAACCCCGGGACUGCUCUUGGAACUGCAUGGCUGGAGUACAGGAGGGGCAGGCGGAAUGCGUGGUGUAGCGGUGAAAUGCAUAGAUAUCACGCAGAACCCCGAUUGCGAAGGCAGCAUACCGGCGCUCAACUGACGCUGAGGCACGAAAGUGCGGGUAUCGAACAGGAUUAGAUACCCCUGUAGUC